ensembl:lncRNA
CCGGAAGGGGCUGGAUAGCUAUGCAGAGUCGAGGUGAACUCUGAACAGGUGAGUUUUGAGUUUUGAAAUCAGCGACUUUAACUAUACCGGAGCCUCUCAGCCAAUCACAAGCACGUUCUCAUUAGUGCUCAAUAAAAGUCUCCUCUAUAUUAACGCAUACGUAUGCGGUCUGGUUGCUUCUGUGCGUCGUUCGGCGAAACUUGGGGUUAGCAUAGCAUAGCAAGCAAGCUGGACUGCGUUUCGUUUAUUUCGUCGUUUCCAAGAAGAUCUGCUCUUGUCUUUUUGUGUUUUAACAAUCCGGACACCGUGGCCACCAACGGAGAAGCCUCCGAUGACCCCGCAGUGAGUACUGGUGGGUCUGCUUCAGGGAAGUCCCUUACUGGGUUUGUGUACGGGGGCUGUAUUGACUGGGGUGGACUGAUUAACUGACUGCCUCUGGUCACCUUUCGCAACAAAAUGAAACCAAAAAAAUGGGCAAUUAUGGUGGAUUGAAAGGGUGGCCAAUGUUCGCAGAACUGGCCAAGAUGAUGAGAAAACUGUCAACAAAAAUCGAUUAAUGGGGUGUAAAACGGAACCUGCAAACAUUUAGGGAAAACUUUAUCACGCAGUGAGUAGUUUGAAGGGAAAAUGUUUCUUGUGAGGUCUGUCACGUUUGGCAGAAUCCCACAGAGGCUCAUUGACACGGGUUUUCUUUAAAAAAAAAAUGCACACCAUGAACUGCAUUGCCCACCGUUUGACGGGAUUCACGUUUGGUACAACGCUCUGAUCUCGAGACAUGAUGCACAACUCCAAUGUACGCCUAAUGUUUCCCAUCUUGUGUCCAAUGUAUGUUGGCCCACCCUACUGGUGUCUGUGCAGUGCGGUUCUGCUUCGUCUGUGCAGUCUGGUUCUGCUUCGUCUGUGCAGUGUGGUUCUGUGCAGUGUGGUUCUGUUUCGUCUGGUUCUGUAUCGUGUGGUUCUGUGCAUUGUGGUUCUAUUGUCUAUGUGACGGGAUUCUGUGCAGUGGUUCUAUUCUGCUCAGUGUGGUUCUGUUGUCUGUGUAAUGGCGUUAUGUGCAGUGUGCUUGUAUUCUGUGGUUCCUUUUGUCCAGCGCUCCAUUUGCCAAUCCAAUGGAUAAUCUCCUUGAGUGAAACAUACAAAUUUCCUUGACGAAUUUUUGCGUGGAUAUAUUUUGAAUUUGUGUAUUUUACCAAGGUCAUCUGAAGAGAUUGGAGGAUUUUUUUUACAACUCAGAUGUACGCCUUAUGUUUCCCAUGUUGUGUCCGAUACAUGUUGGCCCACCCUACUGGUGUGCCUGUGCAGUGUGGUUCUGCUUCGUCUGUGCAAUGUGGUUCUGCUUCGUCGGUGCAGUGUAGUUCUGUGCAGUGUGGUUCUUUUCUGUAUAAUUGGUUUUGAUGCAGUGUGGAUCUAUUUUUUUCUGUGCAGUUGUGGUUCUAGUGUCUGUGUUACGGGAUUCUGUGCAGUGGUUCUAUUCUGUGCAGUGUGGUUCUAUUCUGUAUAAUUGGUUUCUAUUCUGUG